GUGCCUGGCUCUGCCUCACUGGCCCCUCACUGGCUCUCCCUUUGCCACCUGCCUGUGGGCCCAUUUUCUCUAGAGCUGCCUGGGAUUGUGCCAUUGUGGUGACGGGCCUCAGGGACCGCCCACUCCCAAAGCACUUGUUGUCCCCAGAUGCAGCUCCAAUUCCCCCUGCUUCUAGCUGGACCUGGAGCACAUGCAGGGCCUGCAGGAGCUAUAAACACCACCUAAUUCAACGAGCUCACGGAAUUUGGCUUCCUCGAGUGCCCUUCAUGACUUUGGUUCUUGGUGUGAAAAUGGACCUGCAUUGCUCUUUUUGGGUGCGUUGAAGCAUGGUUCACUGAGUCCAGAAGCAGGUCCCUGUGGCAGUGACCAUGUCUAUGGAAGUCUGGAGCCCUGUCCACAAAGCCAUCCGGGCGGAGAUGUGAAUUCUUCUGACAGCUCCCACCCUGGCAUCCGCUUGCUGACCCAGUCGGCUAAACUUUAUUGCCAGAAAUGGAAACAUGUGCCACCUA